rnacentral:rRNA from 1 species
GACGAACGCUGGCGGCGUGCCUAACACAUGCAAGUCAGGGAGAAGGAGGUAGCAAUACUUCCGGAAACCGGCGCACGGGUGAGUAACACGUAGGUAACCUACCCUUGAGCGGGGAACAACAUCGAGAAAUCGGUGCUAAUACCGCAUAAUGCAACGAGACCGCAUGGUUUUGUUGUUAAAGAUCCGCAAGGAUCACUUGAGGAUGGACCUGCGCCCGAUUAGCUAGUUGGCGGAGAAAAGCCCACCAAGGCAACGAUCGGUAGCCGACCUGAGAGGGUGAUCGGCCACACUGGAACUGAGAUACGGUCCAGACUCCUACGGGAGGCAGCAGUGAGGAAUAUUGGUCAAUGGCCGAAAGGCUGAACCAGCAACGCCGCGUGAGGGACGAAGAUCUAAGGAUU